GAUGAACGCUAGCGGCAGGCUUAACACAUGCAAGUCGAGGGGUAUAUGUCUUCGGAUAUAGAGACCGGCGCACGGGUGCGUAACGCGUAUGCAAUCUACCUUUUACAGGGGAAUAGCCCCAGAGAAAUUUGGAUUAAUGCCCCAUAGUAUAAUUGAAUGGCAUCAUUUAAUUAUUAAAGUCACAACGGUAAAAGAUGAGCAUGCGUCCCAUUAGUUAGUUGGUAAGGUAACGGCUUACCAAGACAAUGAUGGGUAGGGGUCCUGAGAGGGAGAUCCCCCACACUGGUACUGAGACACGGACCAGACUCCUACGGGAGGCAGCAGUGAGGAAUAUUGGACAAUGGGCGCAAGCCUGAUCCAGCCAUGCCGCGUGCAGGAAGACGGUCCUAUGGAUUGUAAACUGCUUUUAUACAGGAAGAAACACUCCGACGUGUCGGAGCUUGACGGUACUGUAGGAAUAAGGAUCGGCUAACUCCGUGCCAGCAGCCGACGG
rnacentral:rRNA from 1 species